rnacentral:rRNA from 1 species
GGAUGAACGCUGGCGGCGUGCCUACUACAUGCAAGUCGAGCGAACAGACGAGGAGCUUGCUCCUCUGACGUUAGCGGCGGACGGGUGAGUAACACGUGGAUAACCUACCUAUAAGACUGGGAUAACUUCGGGAAACCGGAGCUAAUACCGGAUAAUAUAUUGAACCGCAUGGUUCAAUAGUGAAAGACGGUUUUGCUGUCACUUAUAGAUGGAUCCGCGCCGCAUUAGCUAGUUGGUAAGGUAACGGCUUACCAAGGCAACGAUGCGUAGCCGACCUGAGAGGGUGAUCGGCCACACUGGAACUGAGACACGGUCCAGACUCCUACGGGAGGCAGCAGUAGGGAAUCUUCCGCAAUGGGCGAAAGCCUGACGGAGCAACGCCGCGUGAGUGAUGAAGGUCUUCGGAUCGUAAAACUCUGUUAUUAGGGAAGAACAAAUGUGUAAGUAACUAUGCACGUCUUGACGGUACCUAAUCAGAAAGCCACGGCUAACUACGUG